rnacentral:rRNA from 1 species
UGGGGAAUAUUGGACAAUGGGGGCAACCCUGAUCCAACAAUGCCGCGUGUGUGAAGAAGGCCUGCGGGUUGUAAAGCACUUUCAGUAGAGAAGAAAAGCCUAAGGUUAAUAACCUUGAGUCUUGACGUAACCUACAGAAGAAGCACCGGCUAACUCCGUGCCAGCAGCCGCGGUAAUACGGAGGGUGCAAGCGUUAAUCGGAAUUACUGGGCGUAAAGCGCACGUAGGUGGUUUUGUAAGUCGGAUGUGAAAGCCCUGGGCUCAACCUGGGAAUUGCAUUCGAUACUGCUUAACUAGAGUAUGGUAGAGGGAAGUGGAAUUUCCGGUGUAGCGGUGAAAUGCGUAGAUAUCGGAAGGAACACCAGUGGCGAAGGCGACUUCCUGGGCCAAUACUGACACUGAGGUGCGAAAGCGUGGGUAGCAAACAGGAUUAGAUACCCCUGUAGUCCCUGAGCGGGCUGGCAAGGCGCAU